rnacentral:lncRNA from 1 species
AUAAAUACAUGUUUACACCCCUUGGCAAAGGGUUCACACUCUCAUAUUCACCAUUCAUCACAGAAAUUCGUCCAUACUCACCCUAGGUAGCAAAACACCCCAAAAACAUCAUUCUAGUGCCUAGAAAACAUAACAGCCACUCCACCUUCUUCCACCCUCUUUGCCUAGCUCUCCACCACCCUCCAACCCUCAAACACUCCUCCACACUUACCCUAAACCUUUCCAUACCAUUCCCCAUCCAUUCUACAUCAUAAAACUACCCAAAAAUCCGUCCACAAAGCAAUCUGCCGCAAGCAAGCAAAGGAG